GCCUGGCUGGCUCAGUUGUUAGAGCAUGAAACUCUUGAUCUUGGGGUUGUGAGUUUGACCCUCACAUUGGGUG
rnacentral:tRNA from 1 species